rnacentral:rRNA from 1 species
UGCCAGCCGCCGCGGUAAUACGGAGGGCGCAAGCGUUGUUCGGAAUCAUUGGGCGUAAAGCGCGCGUAGGCGGUUUGUUAAGUCAGAUGUGAAAGUCCACGGCUCAACCGUGGAAGUGCAUUUGAAACUGGCAGACUUGAGUACUGGAGGGGGUGGUGGAAUUCCCGGUGUAGAGGUGAAAUUCGUAGAUAUCGGGAGGAAUACCGGUGGCGAAGGCGACUGUCUGGCCGAAUACUGACGCUGAGGUGCGAAAGCGUGGGGAGCAAACAGGAUUAGAUA